rnacentral:rRNA from 1 species
GACGAACGCUGGCGGCGUGCUUAACACAUGCAAGUCGAGCGAUGAAGCUUCUUCGGAAGUGGAUUAGCGGCGGACGGGUGAGUAACACGUGGGUAACCUGCCUCAUAGAGGGGAAUAGCCUUUCGAAAGGAAGAUUAAUACCGCAUAAGAUUGUAGUACCGCAUGGUACAGCAAUUAAAGGAGUAAUCCGCUAUGAGAUGGACCCGCGUCGCAUUAGCUAGUUGGUGAGGUAACGGCUCACCAAGGCGACGAUGCGUAGCCGACCUGAGAGGGUGAUCGGCCACAUUGGGACUGAGACACGGCCCAGACUCCUACGGGAGGCAGCAGUGGGGAAUAUUGCACAAUGGGGGAAACCCUGAUGCAGCAACGCCGCGUGAGUGAUGACGGCCUUCGGGUUGUAAAACUCUGUCUUUGGGGACGAUAAUGACGGUACCCAAGGAGGAAGCCACGGCUAACUACGUG